CGAGUGGCGAACGGGUGAGUAACACGUGGGUGAUCUGCCCUGUACUUUGGGAUAAGCCUGGGAAACUGGGUCUAAUACCGAAUAUGACCACUUCUUGGAUGGGGUGGUGGAAAGCUUUUGCGGUAUGGGAUGAGCUCGCGGCCUAUCAGCUUGUUGGUGGGGUAAUGGCCUACCAAGGCGUCGACGGGUAGCCGGCCUGAGAGGGUGUACGGCCACAUUGGGACUGAGAUACGGCCCAGACUCCUACGGGAGGCAGCAGUGGGGAAUAUUGCACAAUGGGCGCAAGCCUGAUGCAGCGACGCCGCGUGGGGGAUGACGGCCUUCGGGUUGUAAACUCCUUUCGCAACCGACGAAGCUUUUGUGACGGUAGGUUGAGAAGAAGCACCGGCUAACUACGUGCCAGCAGCCGCGGUAAUACGUAGGGUGCGAGCGUUGUCCGGAAUUACUGGGCGUAAAGAGCUCGUAGGUGGUUUGUCGCGUCGUUUGUGGAAUACCGCAGCUUAACUGCGGGGUUGCAGGCGAUACGGGCAUAACUUGAGUGCUGUAGGGGAGACUGGAAUUCCUGGUGUAGCGGUGGAAUGCGCAGAUAUCAGGAGGAACACCGAUGGCGAAGGCAG
rnacentral:rRNA from 1 species